GGUUUCUUGUAAUUAUUUAGGAGAUCUGACCUGCCCACUGAAAAUAUUUUGAAGGGCCGCAGUAUUUUGACUGUGCAAAGGUAGCAUAAUCAUUAGUCUUUUAAUUGAAGGCUGGUAUGAAUGGUUGGAUGAGGUAAAUUCUGUUUUAUGUUAAUUGAUGUUGAAUUUAGAUUUUAAGUAAAAAUACUUAAAUGUUAUUAAGGGACGAGAAGACCCUAUAGAGUUUAAUAAAUAUGAUAAUUAAUUGGGUUAAAGUUUAAUUUUUGGUUUUUAUGUAAUUUAUUUAAUUGGGGUGAUUGGAAGAUAAAAUAAACUCUUCUUUAUAUUUAAUAAAUUAAUUAGUUAUAUGAUCCAUAUUUAAUGAUUAAAAGAUUAAGUUACCUUAGGGAUAACAGCAUAAUUCUUUUUAAGAGUUCAUAUCGAAAAAAGAGAUUGUGACCUCGAUGUUGGAUUAAGAUUAGUUAUGGGUGCAGAUGUUCAAUAACUAGGUCUGUUCGACCUUGAAAAUCUU
rnacentral:rRNA from 1 species